UUGCUCUUCAACGAGGAAUGCCUAGUAAGCGCGUGUCAUCAGCAUGCGUUGAUUACGUCCCUGCCCUUUGUACACACCGCCCGUCGCUACUACCGAUUGAAUGGCUCAGUGAGGCGUUCGGACUGGCUUGAGGAGGUUGGCAACGACCACCUUAAGCCGGAAAGUUCGUCAAACUCGGUCAUUUAGAGGAAGUAAAAGUCGUAACAAGGUUUCCGUAGGUGAACCUGCGGAAGGAUCAUUACUUUUCACUUUGGGAGCUGUUAGUCUAUAUCACUAUAGCUGGCUCCUAUUUGAAACCCUUGUCUUUUGCGUACCCAUGUUUCCUCGGCGGGCUUGCCCGCCGGUUGGACAACCUUAAAACCUUUUUAAUUUUCAAUCAGCGUCUGAAUAAAUAUAAUAAUUACAACUUUCAACAACGGAUCUCUUGGUUCUGGCAUCGAUGAAGAACGCAGCGAAAUGCGAUAAGUAGUGUGAAUUGCAGAAUUCAGUGAAUCAUCGAAUCUUUGAACGCACAUUGCGCCCCUUGGUAUUCCAUGGGGCAUGCCUGUUCGAGCGUCAUUUGUACCUUCAAGCUUUGCUUGGUGUUGGGUGUUUGUCUCGCCUCUGCGUGUAGACUCGCCUUAAAACAAUUGGCAGCCGGCGUAUUGAUUUCGGAGCGCAGUACAUCUCGCGCUUUGCACUCAUAACGACGACGUCCAAAAGUACAUUUUUACACUCUUGACCUCGGAUCAGGUAGGGAUACCCGCUGAACUUAAGCAUAUCAAUAAGCGGAGGA
rnacentral:rRNA from 1 species